rnacentral:rRNA from 1 species
UCAGGUAGGAAGACCCGCUGAACUUAAGCAUA